rnacentral:rRNA from 1 species
GAUGAACGCUGGCGGCGUGCCUAAUACAUGCAAGUCGAGCGAAUGGAUUAAGAGCUUGCUCUUAUGAAGUUAGCGGCGGACGGGUGAGUAACACGUGGGUAACCUGCCCAUAAGACUGGGAUAACUCCGGGAAACCGGGGCUAAUCCCGGAUAACAUUUUGAACCGCAUGGUUCGAAAUUGAAAGGCGGCUUCGGCUGUCACUUAGGGAUGGACCCGCGGCGCAUUAGCUAGUUGGUGAGGUAACGGCUCACCAAGGCAACGAUGCGUAGCCGACCUGAGAGGGUGAUCGGCCACACUGGGACUGAGACACGGCCCAGACUCCUACGGGAGGCAGCAGUAGGGAAUCUUCCGCAAUGGACGAAAGUCUGACGGAGCAACGCCGCGUGAGUGAUGAAGGCUUUCGGGUCGUAAAACUCUGUUGUUAGGGAAGAACAAGUGCUAGUUGAAUAAGCUGGCACCUUGACGGUACCUAACCAGAAAGCCACGGCUAACUACGUGCCAGCCGCCGCGGUAA